GCCAGGCAUGGUGGCCCAUGCCUGUAGUCCCAGCUUCUUGGGAGGCUGAGGCAGGAGAAUCACUUGAACCCAGGAGGUGGAGGUUGCAGUGAGCUGAGAUUGCGCCACUGCGUUCCAACCUGAGCAACAGAGUGAGACUCUGUCUCAA
rnacentral:SRP_RNA from 1 species